GGCGCCGAGGGGCACAAGAGUGGGGAAAAGUGCGGAAAGAAGCAACAGCCGCUCCCUCGGAGCCCAGAAAAGUGGACGCCGCGUCCCGGCCGCCCGCCUGCGCCGGGGAUGCGGCGGCGGCGGCGGCUAACGGUCCAGCGAGGCGGCAGGGGCGGCGGGAGCCGCUAGGCGGAGAGACCAGUUUUCUCAGUUGGAGCCCCUCGCCUCUGUGCCUGGAAGGAGUUGCAGGUGUGUGUGAGCAGAGAGUGGUCACCCACAGGGCCCCGGCGCAGCUCGGGGGGCCCUCAGGUGAGUCCGGCGGGGCCGACAGCCAACACCAGUUCCCUUCAUCCCAGCGGCAUCCCUCCCACCGCCCUGCUCCAAGUCGUUUUUUCCAGUCUCUCCCCCAGUGGACACCCCGCUUCCCCGUCACCUUAUGGAGCGUCACCUCUUUCUUACCUGCGCGAGUUACAUCCCUUCUCCAUCUUCGUUCACUGAGAAUUCCACACACGUGGUGAUGCAGGCGUCCCCACAUCUACGUCACUACGCCUGUGUUACAGGCAUCACGGCGGCAUGAGGAUGCAAGAACUGCCACCUGGCUUCCUCUGAACCACUGCCACGUGCGUCGUCCCCACGUCGCUCCAGACUCUGGGGACGGCCGAGCUCCGGGACCAGUCAGCCUCCAAGGUGGGACUCGAUUUAGCCAAAGGGCAACAGCUAAAUCAUUUUGCUGAAUACCUGAAACUAACGCAACAUUGGAAAUCAACUCUAUUUCAGUAAAAGCGAGUUAAAAUAAAUGAUGGGGACAGAGUUAGGAGGUGAGAAAAAUUGUCUGAUGCCGAAAAGCACCUGAGCUGAACUGGAAAGAAGAUGUUUCUGAGGAACUUGGUCAGAAAACGUGGCAGGCAGUCUUCGGGCUUGGGUUGUCUGUCUGCAGCUGCGACACGUGGGCAUGACCGCCUGCACCAUUACUUGGAGACUCAGGCGAGACUGAAGAUGUCUGAUAAAGUGUACUUCACACUGAUAAGACUCUGGAAGCAAGAAUAGAAUUUUAUUGUUUAGUCUGGCGGAAAUUACUAAAGCAGUCAUAACUGAAAACCAUGCGCCUGAUUCUUUGAGCUAUGUACACGAAACGCUCUUAAGUCCGUAGGGUUUGGUAACAGGGCGAUUACUUGCAGUAUGUGAAUGGAAUGAUUUCCUCUUGGCCAGAGAAUACAUGAGGAAAGGAGAUGACCCGCCUUAUGGAGUAUCUGCUGUGUCUCCCUCUGUGGAUGGGCCCACCGCUAUCCCUUCAGUUCCUCUAUCGAAUACAAACCCUGGCACACACCUUGCCAACCACUCCUCACCUGUGGCAUCGUUCCUCGGGGGCGGGCAGAGGAUGGCCCAGCUGGAGGCGGGACCAUAGGAGAGGCAGGAACCCCCAACCCACUUUCUCCGCAUCCCAGUUCCGGGAUCCAGGCCAGGCAGCACAGGGGCUCUGCCGGUGGCCCUCUCCCCUCUCAGAGGGGGCACAGGUGCGGAGUUGAGAAACUGAGGGCUACAGGCACUCCCCUUAGCUUCUGCCCUGGUGCGGGGCAGGCACCGGGGUGCCCUCUUCCACUUGGGGUACCUGCCAGGGAUUCCCAGUCCCCCCCAGGACUGCAGUCUUCUCCUUCUUCAGGCCUCGCACGGUCUCUGCUUUCCCCCAACAGGAGAAGACCUCAGCACCUCAGGGCCACGCAGAAAAUGCCUGCCCUUCCAGAUCCUUCAGUGGGGGACAAAGGCUUUCAGUCCUCCAGCAGAGGUGGGGCUGCAGUGCAAACCAGAGCUUCCCAACCUCUGUGCCAGUUGUCAGUGUAUCGACAAACUGGUCCCCUCAGGUGUCGGGCGCCUCGGCAGGGCCUGGAGCCUCCCUCCUCAUUUCUCUCCACGGUCCCCGAGAUGGUACAGGUAUUACCAUUCCCUGUGACAGCCAUGAUAUGCAGACAGUCUGGACGGCAGCCGAUCGUCCUAGUGAGGAGAUUCUGGUGAGUUCUGCCAGAGGCAUCUCCGCCCCUCCGCUUUUUAGCCAGAGCAUCACUACCCGCCGGAGGAGCGGCCGGGUGCAGGGCUGGGGGGCUCUGCGCCAUGCCCGGGGCGCUGGGCAGACCUGAGCCCUGUGGGCCCCACUGAGCUUUUGAAUUGGAAGGUUCCCCCAUUCUUCUAACCACUCCAGAAUCCUCCCUGGCUGCUUAUCUUUUGCUCCAGUUUCACCCAAGGGUAGAGUUGGCCUCAGCCAGCAUCCCGCCCUCGCCCUUCUCUGGCCCUGUGCUGGGAACCCAGAAGCAGGUGUGGGAGCCCGUGGCUGUGCCCUUAGCCCUGGUCGCAGGGGACACGGCCUCCCGUUAGCACGCCGCAGGAAGACUCCAGAACUGACACCCACGCUCGGCUUUGGGGGGUUUACAAAACACAUCCUGCCCCCCAAAAUUGCAGAGCUAUUUUAAAAUUCAAAUGGGUUAUAUUUUCUAAGCCAGAGCUACGUCGCUUUCCCCAAAGCAGUUUUCAGACAUUUCAAAAACGUUAGCUGGUGAGUCAGAAAUCUCCUCUUACUCUUUCCGUUUUCUCUCGCUCUGAAAAUACGUAUGUAUACAUAAGCACACGUCACGCUUGGAGGCGUAUCUUCUAGGAUGUAAAUAACAAAGGAAAGAGUGUGGCGGUUGGAAUCCUGGUGCUUGGAAGAGAUGGGUCUGUGCUCUGCGUCCCAGCACAGCGUUUAGCACAUUGUUACACACGGAGCGUCUGUGGCCUUCACGUGCACCCUCGUCUUCCCCUGUGCUCGACGACCUGACCCGCGAGGCCGCUGGGCUGACUUCCCGCGCUCGCGCCACGUGCUUGGAGAGUUCCCAAGGCCAGCAAGUCAAAUGUUGCGGCCAGGUCGUCGCCAAUUUCCAGCAAAACGAGUUCAUAUCCAUUUAGGCCCGUUUUACUGCUCUUUGUUAUAACUAUUGCCAAGGAGAAACGAGCAGGUUUGGGGACCACAAGGCAAAAUAAUAUUUGAAAUUUUAACAUAUGCUUAUUUCUUAAUAUUGUAAGCACCCUAUUGUGACUUGGGGACUUUUGUGUUAGUCUUCGAUCCCUCUCCCACAGAGUCUGGGAGGACUGGGUGCCCCGGCCUUGGCCUUGGGAUGCACGGUCUCUCUCGCCGUGCACAGAGGCGGUGUCCUUCGCACACGGCGGGGCUGAGUGGAGGCUCCAAGCUCGUGUGGCCUGAGACAUUCCAUCGCACAGGCUCUCCUAGCAACAUGGCGACGCCAGCAAACCCAACAAUGACCUUUUGUCGUUAGCUCUAUAAAGCCCGUGGCAUGAGUCUCACCAGAAAAUUCAAAGGAUAUUUUGCAAGCGAAGAGCGAUUUCCAGCUGAAGCUUUGAAUCGGUUACUUUUCCUCCAAUCUGCAAAUAUCAAACUGGACCGGCACCAGAUUGUCGCUUCAAGAGCAGGACGUACCCAAAGAGGAUACCACGUCACCGAAAGAGUCAGCAGCCAAUGCCACAUAAUAAUUUUGUGAAGAUUUGUUUAGUUAAAACGAGAUGAUGUUAUUUGGCAUUCCAGUUCACCAAGGAGCUCCUGCAAGUGUUACAAGAUGCUGAAAGCAGGGGUGGCUUUGUCCCUUUCUUUCCUGCUGUGGAAUUAGGACUCUGUUUUCCACUGGACCGGAAAUAAGGAAAAAAAAUGAAAGCAGAUCCACAAGCCAGGUCUGGUUUUAAUCAGAGCAUAAUCUUUAUGAGACAACGCAAGGCUGAGAAUUUUUUAAUCUGAUAUUUUGAAAGAAAAAUCCGUGUUCCAAAAUGAUACAAACCAAUCAGCCUUAGAAGAACGAUGGAAAAAAGAAAUCUCUUGCAUAAAAGAGAAGCAGGAAAUUCCAGAGAAGUUUCACAGGGAGGAGGGGAAAACCCAAGGUAUAAAGAUAAUUCAGAAGAAAAUACAAAGUUUUCAACUAACGCAGAUGAAACAGUUGGAUAUUCUUAUGCAAAAAAUAAUUCCAGUCCAAUCCUGGCACUUAUACAAAAAGUAAGUCAAAAUAGAUUGGAGAUCUAGCUGUAAAAACUAAAAUUACAAAAUUUCUAAAAGAUACAUAGGAGAAAAUC